rnacentral:rRNA from 1 species
GAUGAACGCUGGCGGCGUGCCUAAUACAUGCAAGUCGAGCGAACAGACGAGGAGCUUGCUCCUCUGACGUUAGCGGCGGACGGGUGAGUAACACGUGGAUAACCUACCUAUAAGACUGGGAUAACUUCGGGAAACCGGAGCUAAUACCGGAUAAUAUAUUGAACCGCAUGGUUCAAUAGUGAAAGACGGUUUUGCUGUCACUUCUAGAUGGAUCCGCGCCGCAUUAGCUAGUUGGUAAGGUAACGGCUUACCAAGGCAACGAUGCGUAGCCGACCUGAGAGGGUGAUAGGCGACAUGGGAACGGAGACACGGUCCAGACUCCUACGGGAGGCAGCAGUAGGGAAUCGUCCGCAAUGGGCGAAAGCCUGACGGAGCAACGCCGCGUGAGUGAUGAAGGUCUUCGGAUCGUAAAACUCUGUUAUUAGGGAAGAACAAAUGUGUAAGUAACUAUGCACGUCUUGACGGUACCUAAUCAGAAAGCCACGGCUAACUACGUG